rnacentral:misc_RNA from 1 species
GGCGGAUUCUUGUUACACUAGAACGAAACUUCCUGGAAGCUGCCAUGGCGGAUCUCUCGUUCUCAUCCCUUCCAUUUAAGUCGGCAAUUCUCCUUCUCUUUCACCUCCAGUUUCUCUUCCCCUUCUCCAUUUUCAAUUUCUUCUUUCUCUUCUCUACCUUCUCUACUUUCCGCCAUGAAAAUUCCCAAAAGAUUUAGCCCCAAACGCCUCUUCCGAUCCAAGAAGAAUCACUCCGCCGACGUCUCCCGCUCCGAUCCGCCGUCUUUCGGCUCCGGUACGUCCUCUUCCUCUUCCUCUUCCGAGAAUUUCUUCAAGCCUAACUCCACCGCUACCGGUUACGGAACUCCGACUAGUGUUCUCCCUCCGGACUGGUCCGACUCAGACCAGAGGGAAAACGACGGCGUUGUGUCGAGGAAAGAGUUAGAGGCGAUUCUUAGCCGGAU